CAAAAUAUUAUUUAUGCCAGGGGGAGUCAAAUGGCGGCACCCAGAUAAUUUUUAUCUGGCCCUCCAACUGGUUUUUGAUGUUUAAAACCGCUCGCAAUCUGAUAUCAAAGUCCCCGCAAAGGUUUAGCGUUUUCAGCGUGAAUGUCAACCCGUUCUCACUCCUGACCGUUCUCACGCUGAAGAAGUCUCCUUCAGAACACAUCGCGAUAUUUGGCAUCAGUUCGCGUGUGCUGGAUGUUGCUGAAAAGACAAAAAGGGCCUUUUGGAAAUGGAUGAAGGAGACAGAAAGCUGCAAAGGCAAAUAAUUGCAAUGGAUUACUUGCAGAUUACUUAGUCCUUCUUUUUAGGAUCUCUACAACAUCAAACUCAACAGCUCUUUUAAGAGCCGACCCUCACAAGAGCUACUAGUGAGUCGCUGCAAACCUGCCAUGAUCAGCCCUUUCCAGAGAAGGAAGACCAGUCCUUAUAUCAAAACAAGCUCAUCGAAGUCCUUUGUUUAGGGUGAGGAAGGAACAUGACCAUCUCAUGCCCAAAGAAGACAGAAGUCCAUUGAUAGCAAGUGAAGUCACUAACAGAAGAUCCUAGAGGAAAAACGACUGUUGUGCAGCUACGGAGGAACACAAGAGGCAGAAACUAUGCAUGGCCAUGGCUUCUUCAUGAGUACGACCAGGACUGAAGAACGCCUGACAAUGGGAUGUUAAGACUUCUUCCUCUGGUUGAGAAAAAGCUACAGCACAUCAGUGAUCACAUCUUCUGGUCAUCAGUUGUACUGUAGAGUACAACUGAACAAACUGUUUAGAAGAAGAAGAACAUGAACAUGAUAGAGACGUGUACAGGGAAGAGCAAGAACCCAGUUCAGCUGUGAUAAUGAAUCUUUAUUUUAAACUCAAUAUCAAAUCUGUUUUCUGGAUCAUAGUUGACUGGAUGGGAUUCUGUGGCGCUCAUUUGUGCAAUAGGAGUAAAGUCUGUGAAUGGAUUAUUAUGACGUUAACGUAUUUUUGAAGACACGUUUUUAUUUAUCUUGAAUCUCAUUUGUCUUUAUGCAAAUUUCAACCUUAUGCUGUAUCCUCCAAUAAAGUGUUGUGUAAUAAA